ACGAUUAUGGUGUGCACUUCCUGGACGCGAUCGUUGAGAUCAAGGCCAAAUGUCCUGGUGCUCGUAUCAGUGGAGGUGUGUCC
rnacentral:ribozyme from 1 species